CACAAUGUCGAAGUAUAUAUUACUGCUGUGUGUUACUGGCUUUUUAUUUCAAAUAACUGCAGCAGAUACUUCGGAAACUAAUGAGUCUGUAAGCGAUCAAUCAUCACUGGAAAGUGACGAGGAUUGCUAUUAUGAAGUGCCGGAACCUCAAUGCCCGGAGAACGAACAAUUCUCCCAAUGCCCGUUCAGUACAUGUCGGCCUCAAACCUGCCAAGAGGCAGGAUUCCCAGUGCCAUGCCCCAUAAUGGGCCCUGAUGGUCAAUGCCCUGGAGAACCAGGGUGCAUCUGUGUUAGCGGAUAUUUAAGAAACGACGAAGGCGUUUGCAUCCCUGAGAAGCAAUGUCCAUCUUGUGGGGGCGACAAAAACGCAGUCCGAGGCUGUGGAGUCCACUGUCGCAACACCUGCGCCACUUAUAAAGCUUCAAAAAAAUUGCCGUGUCCACUGUUCUGUAACCUGAACGGCUGUGAUUGCAGACAAGGAUUCGUAUUUGACGGAAACUUGAAGAGAUGUGUGAGACCUCAGGAUUGCACACCAACUUGUCAAGUGAACGAAGUGUUUGAGUCAUGUUCCAAUGUCAUAUGCCGUACUCAGAAUUGUGCUGAUAAAGGCAAGAAUAUACCAUGCAGAGGUAUAACCGAUAGACGCUGUGACCCCAAAUGUCUUUGCCGAGAAAACUAUAUGAGGAAUAAGGAUGGAAAAUGUAUACCCGAAGACCAGUGUGAAGCGGCAUCUAACACAACUGCACAAGGACCUGAUUCACCGUCAUCAACAAACACAAGUACGAGCACAUGUACCGAUGCCGCCACUCAGGAGGCAAAUUUGGAACGAGGAAACACCAUCUUUACGGGAAAAGUCUUCUAUCAAGUUGUGAAGAACAAUCCAGAAAAAAGCGUAAUAGUGUCACCAUUAUCGGUACUUCCACCCUUGGGUAUACUCGCUUUGAGUUCCAGAGGCCAAACGAACCAAGAAUUGCUGAAUGCACUUAACCUCAAAAGUAACGACGAUGUAAGAUGUGCUUUUCCCGGUCAUCUACGUCAGAUAACAGCAACGAACGGAACGGAAUUGGACUACGGUGCCAAAAUUUACGUCUACGAACAAGGCAAACUCAACCAAACUGUGCAAAAUGACGCGAAAAACGUAUUUAAUGCGUCAGUAGAGAGUCUGGAUUUCACUAAUCCUAAUAACGCCAGUGAUGUCAUUAACAAUUGGGUUUCAGAUGUUACAAAGGGAAAGAUUACUAAACUUACAUCGCCGGAUAUGUUUGAUGCUAUGACACGAUUGGUCAUAGCCGAUGCCAUUUAUUUCAAGGGCCUUUGGAAAUAUGAAUUCAACAUAAAUAAUACAAAACCCAGAGAUUUCCAUGUUAACAGUAAUAAAACUAUACAAGUGCCAACCAUGCAACAGAAAGGGAAAUUCCAAUAUGCCGAGUUAUCAGAUCUUAACGUCCAGGUUGUAGAACUGCCAUACAAAGAUGAAGAUAUAACAUUUUUGGUAGUUUUGCCAAGGGAAACUGAUGGGCUAUUAUCAGUUGCGGAGAAACUCCAAGAUCCAACAGUAAUAGACAAAAUUUACGGUAGUCUGUCUGAACAAACAGUGACCAUUUUCUUGCCUAGAAUACCAGAAGUAUCAACGAGGACGAAUUUGAUUGAUGUCUUGAGAUCGAUUGGUAUAACAUUAGUCUUCGAUUCCGCCAAAUCUGAGCUGAGUGGCAUGACCGUACCCGAUGAGGCUCUUUACGUGUCUGAUGCUGUCCAGGAAGCAACCAUCACUGUAAAUGAGGAGGGAGCUGAAGCCGCCGCUGCGAAUGCAGUUGUUAUAGUAUCAAGAAACAUGCCGUUGCCUCCACCAGUUGAAUUCAAAUUAAUCGCCGACCAUCCAUUUGUAUUCCUAAUAAGAGUCAGAAAUUUGAUUAUAUUCAUAGGGACUUUUGCGAAUAAGCUUUCGGUGUGACAGCUUUGUCGGCUACCAUCGGGGGACCUAAAGAAUACUAUUUCAACGCCGAUCAUCCUUACGCUAUUUACAUUAAUAUUCGCCGCCGUAUAACACUGUUUUGUGGAGCGUUUUAUGGAUAAGGCUUGAAAGACUACACCCACUUUUCCGGACACGAGAACUCAUUUCUUCGAAUGUAUUUUUACCUGAUGGUGUCUUUAAUAAAUGAAAAUUCAACCUUAA